rnacentral:rRNA from 1 species
GACGAACGCUGGCGGCGUGCUUAACACAUGCAAGUCGAACGGGGUUAAGGAGCUUGCUUCUUAACUUAGUGGCGAACGGGUGAGUAACGCGUGAGGAACCUGCCUUUCAGAGGGGGGACAACAGUUGGAAACGACUGCUAAUACCGCAUGAUACUUGCGAAUGGCAUCAUUUGCAAGUCAAAGAUUUAUCGCUGAAAGAUGGCCUCGCGUCUGGAUUAGCUAGUUGGUGGGGUAACGGCCCACCAAGGCGACGAUCAGUAGCCGGACUGAGAGGUUGACCGGCCACAUUGGGACUGAGAUACGGCCCAGACUCCUACGGGAGGCAGCAGUGGGGGAUAUUGGGCAAUGGGCGCAAGCCUGACCCAGCAACGCCGCGUGAAGGAAGAAGGCCUUCGGGUUGUAAACGUUCUUUUACCUA